UGAUUUUUGUGUUUAUUUUUAUAAUUUCAGCUUAUUAACCUAACAUAUAAUCAAGACCAAGAUGAUUUUCUCGAUUUUAUUUCCAUUUUGGAAGAAGGAAAUUGAUUACGUACAUGUGUAAAGUUCAGAAUUACGUACAUCAGAUUACAGUCGUCAAAACAUAAGUGUAUAAAGUGGUAUGAUGUAUGAAAAAAAUUACGUAUCAUGUUAUUAGGGUUCUGUUAUGUCCUGACUGUCAGUUAAUUCAUGUUAACCCAACUUUUUGCUUGUUUUUAAGUUUAAUGUUUAUAUUUUGAAAAGAUGAAUUUUGUAAAUCGGUUAUUUAUGUACUUAAAUGCUGUGGCAGAAAGACAUAAUUUAAAUCUAGAGUGACUUCAGUUACGAGAUGGAUUACGAGACAACCAGUAAUCCGUUUUUAUGAGAUAUUUCAGUGCCAAAAACUAUUACUGUGAUAUAAAAUUAAAUAAAACAUUGUAAUUACUACUAGAUUAACAAUCUUAUAUUUUUUAUGUUUAGUGAUAAUGUUUAAAAUUUAAUGGACUAAGCUCAUGUUGUAAGUUUUUAUGCUUCUUUAAUACAAUGCUUUUUUGUCUUAAUUUCAUUGUAUUUACUGAGAAAAGAAUUAUAAAUUUAUUUUAGACUUGAUGAAACAAAUAAAUUUUGCGAAAGCUUGAUAUUAAUACAUUCACUGACACAACUACAUAUGAAGUCACUCCUUAAGAAGAUGUGACUACAUGUGAAGUGUGUCCGUUAAUGUGUCUACAGAGUUUUUUUUUAUUCUGCCCCUUAACUUAAUGACUGCAACCUCAAAAUACAGAUAACAGACACUAAGAAUUCAGCUUUUUCACCCAUUUAGUGAAGAUGUUUUGUUUACAAAUCAACAUUAUCAGUUUAUCUACAUUUCUGUAUGCUAUACCGCUAUACCUACUAGAGGUGUAUGCUAGCUUGGGAAAAGAUCACUACAGGAGCAAUGCAACCAAUUUGUGACAAUAAUGUUAGAAGAUCCUAACGAUUCCAGAGCAACAACUAACACAUCCAAGGAGGAAGCUACAGCUACCUGAGGAAAGGAAUGCGGAAUGUUUCAAACAAUCAAUGUUUAGAGUUUUUCAAACAAGGAAAGGUUAACGCAGACCUAUUCUAAUUUGGCUAUACUGUACUGAUGAUAGCUAAUGAGUCAGAGACAUGUGUCUGUCUUCACAUAAUAUAUCUUAAACAUACUGUAUUUUUUCCAUCCUUGUUGCGAGACGUGCUGAUAUAUACUUCCUACUUGAUUUUACUGUCAACUCGCACUGACCAUGAGGAAGUGGUUCAAGCACUUCAAAAAAUAAAGGAAUCGGGAUAUUCCUGGGGAAAUGUGGAAGCCAUUAGAAGAGGCAGGAAUAAGUUGGCUAAUACGUUUAUUUAAUAGAAUUAUGGAAGUUGGACAAAUGCUAAACGAAUGAAGAAGCAGUAUAUUUGUACCCGUUUAUAAAAACAAAAAAAAAUACAAUAAUGAACAAACUACAGUCAUAAAACUACUUAGACACUUCAUGAAAAUAUGGGAGAGGCACAGUAAGUACUCAGUUCUUAUUUAUACUCAUUAGUUUUGGAUCAGUAAACAAGGGAACUGCAUAGACCUGGAUAAUGCGUACCAAAAAAAAGUUGAUUAAUAGCUAGCUGAAAAUUAUUUGUUAAUAGAUUAACAGUGUCUAGUCAGACAAACUUUGAUGUAUGGGAACAGGGGAAGUAUUAAUUGUGGAAUAAGUUAAAAAUUUGGAACGUCAGACUUUGAAUACGUUUUAUGUAUUUUGUCGGACAGAACUUCCAAUUGAUUUGUUUCCAUUUCAUUACUCUCAUGCAAAAAUCAGACUGGUGUUUAUCACCAACUGGGCAUUUUAAUGAGUGGAACAAGAAGAACAUGUCAAAUGACAGGAAUCAUGUUGGUUAGUAAUAUCAGUCUGCUUUUUGCAUGAGAGUUUAAUGAAAAGGUAACAAAUCAAUUGGAUGUUCUGUCUGACAAAAUACACAUGAGUUUUAGCAAUCUACGUUCCAAAUUUUUAAACUGUUCCACAAUUAAAACUUCCAGUGUUUGCGUACAUUAAAGUUUGUCUGACUAGACACCGUUAAGCUAUAGGGCUUUUCAUUCACAGUCAUUUGUUUCGAGCUUCUGUCAUAUGCCGUAUAAUCCGUGUAUAGGGCUUUUCAUCGAUUGUCAUUUGUUUCGAGCUUCUGUCAUGUGUCAUAUUAUAUUAAUAUAUCUACGUCAUAUGUCUUUGGUUUGUAUCAUUGGUAUAUGCCAAUAACGUAUGACGUAGAUAUAUUAAUAUUAUGUGACACAUGACAGAAGCUCGAAACAAAUGACUGUGAAUGAAAAGCCCUAUAUUAAUAUUAUAUAACAUAUGACAGGAACUCGAAACAAAUGACAAUUGAUGAAAAGCCCUAUUAGCAAAUUUUCAGCUUGCUAUUAAUCAACUUUUUUUUGGUACGUGGGAUCCAGGCCUAGCAGGGUAAGGGUGCACUCACUAAGGAGACCAAAGGAUGGUAUCCUCUCCUAGAACAGAGUAUCCUACUACUCUUCAUUAUCGUGAACGAUCUCAUCGCAUUUAACAUAAUGCAUCGGGCGAUCCAUGAUAUGGUACGAGGGAUACCAGGGAGCGAGGGUCGGCGCCUCGUUGUGAGCACAACUUUACAUUUCCUGGUACUUACUGUAUCCUGAUGAUGUAGUGUUAGUAGGAAAUAGUGAAAGCUACUUAGAACAAAAACAAAAAUUCAUUUUAUGAUAUAAUAUAUUGAAGUACUAAACAACUAAAAAAUCACUUAAAAAUUAAACACUAAACCAAUUAAACUAAAAAUCAAAUAAAGUCUAUCACACAAACAACUUGGUUUCACAAAUAAAAAUAACAAUAUUUAUUAAUAUAACAUAAACAUUUUCACAUAACCAAACUAAACGGCAAGUAAUUUUUGUUUAGAAAAGUUUAAAAUUACGUUUACGCGUGCGUUUACCUAAAAGAAAUUACAUACGAAGGUAGGCAACCCCUUGGAUAUCAUUGAUACAGCAUACCGAUUUUACACACAAGAUUACAGCCUGUAAUUCGAGUUUACCGUACGUAAUCAGUUUACGUAAAUGAUACAGCAUAGCCCCCAUUGUUUUAGAAAGAAAACAUUGAUUAUGGUGAAAAAGUUUACUGGAGAACUUGAACAAGAGCUUUAACUUAACCUAACAUAAUUAGAUUCAAAGUAUUUCAAAGAUGAUUUUAUCGAUUUUAUUUCCAUUUUGGAAGAAGGAAUGAAGGAAAUAAGGAAAACAUUGAUUAUGCUGAAAUAGUUUACUGGAGAGCUUGAACAAGAGGUAAAUCCAUUUUAAAUUAGAGGAAAACUGUUGAUUUGUAUGUAAAAUAGAAGACAAAGACAAGUUUAAAUAAAGACAAGCUAGCUAAUGAAACAGAUGCAGUGAUAUGACAAACACCUAGAAGAUGGAAUCCUGUGUUCUCAAAGAAAAAGCUAGUUCCAGAAAUAAGCUACCAAUAAUAAACUAGAGAAUGUAUUACAAGAAAGAACAACGCUAAUACCCAACAUAGCUCAAUUGCUUCAGAUAGAAAAAGAGGAGGAAAGGGUAGAACACAAGCGUGCCAGAGAAAAUUAAAGGGCAGAAGAGACACAAAAAUUCAUUGAUUUAUUAAAUUUAAUAAUUAAAUUAUACAAAGGACAAUUAAAUAAAGAAUAAAAAAUUA
rnacentral:lncRNA from 1 species